rnacentral:rRNA from 1 species
UACACUCCUACGGGAGGCAGCAGUGGGGAAUUUUGGACAAUGGGCGAAAGCCUGAUCCAGCAAUGCCGCGUGUGUGAAGAAGGCCUUCGGGUUGUAAAGCACUUUUGUCCGGAAAGAAAUCCUUGGCUCUAAUACAGUCGGGGGAUGACGGUACCGGAAGAAUAAGCACCGGCUAACUACGUGCCAGCAGCCGCGGUAAUACGUAGGGUGCGAGCGUUAAUCGGAAUUACUGGGCGUAAAGCGUGCGCAGGCGGUUUGCUAAGACCGAUGUGAAAUCCCCGGGCUCAACCUGGGAACUGCAUUGGUGACUGGCAGGCUAGAGUAUGGCAGAGGGGGGUAGAAUUCCACGUGUAGCAGUGAAAUGCGUAGAGAUGUGGAGGAAUACCGAUGGCGAAGGCAGCCCCCUGGGCCAAUACUGACGCUCAUGCACGAAAGCGUGGGGAGCAAACAGGAUUAGAUACCCUAGUAGUCCCAUG